AUUGAACGCUGGCGGCAGGCCUAACACAUGCAAGUCGAGCGAGAGGCGGACGGGUGAGGAAUGUAUGGGGACAGCCCGAGAGAGGGGGGGAUCUACUGGAAACGGUAGAGAAUACCCCAUAUUAUAGGAUAAUCCACAUGGGAUUAUCUAGUAGGUGAGGGAAUGGCUCACCUAGGCGACGAUCCCUAGCUGGUCUGAGAGGAUGAUCAGCCACACUGGGACUGAGACACGGCCCAGACUCCUACGGAGGCAGCAGUGGGGAAUAGUGCACAAUGGGCGCAAGCCUGAUGCAGCCAUGCCGCGUGUAUGAAGAAGGCCGUAGGGUUGUAAAGGACUUUCAGUCGGGAGGCGUUACCGACAGAAGAAGCACCGGCUAACUCCGUGCCAGCAGCCGCGGUAAUAC
rnacentral:rRNA from 1 species